rnacentral:tRNA from 1 species
AGCUUAGUAGUUCAACUGGCUAGAACGCUCGACUCAUAUCCGAGAAAUACAGGUUCGAGUCCUGUCUUAGCUACCA